rnacentral:rRNA from 1 species
UACGGGGGGAGCUAGUGUUGUUCGGAUUUAUUGGGCGUAAAGGGAGUGUAGGCGGGGACCUAAGUCAGGGGUGAAAAUUCAGGGCUCAACCCUGAACUUGCCUUUGAUACUGGGUCUCUCGAGUAUGGAAGAGGGCGAUGGAAUUCCUGGUGUAGCGGUGGAAUGCGUAGAUAUCAGGAGGAACACCAAUUGCGAAGGCAGUCGCCUGGGACAAUACUGACGCUGAAACUCGAAAGCGUGGGGAG